rnacentral:misc_RNA from 1 species
GAAGCAAAGGUAUCACUAUAAUGUUGCUGAUAUGAGACUAGCUCAGCACAUUGAGAAAGGAAACGAAGACGGAUUAUUUAUCAGCAGUGUGGCAUCUUCUUCAAGCUUGUGGGCACUAAUAAUGGAUGCAGGAACUGGGUUCAGCGCCCAAGUUUAUGAAUUGUCACCUUUAUUUCUUCAUAAGGAAUGGAUUAUGGAGCAAUGGGAGAAGAAUUAUUAUAUAAGUGCUAUAGCUGGAGCUACUAAUGGGAGCUCAUUAGUUAUCAUGUCAAAGGGUACACAGUAUCUGCAGCAGUCAUACAAAGUCGGCGAGUCUUUUCCAUUUAAGUGGAUUAACAAAAAAUGGAGAGAGGGUUUUUAUGUC